AAUUGUAAACAAAACAAAAACUUAGAAAAAUGACAUAAAACUUGUAAAUUGACAUUAAGUGUGAAAUGAAACAAAAAAUAUGUAAAUCAUACAUAAAACUAGUAAAUUAAUGAAAAAUUUGGUAAAUUAAUAUUAGAGUUGAAAUUUGCAAGAAGAACUUGUAUACAAAACAAAAACUUAGAAAAAUGACAUAGAACUUGUAAAUUGACAUUAAGUGUGAAAUGAAACAAUAAAUGUGUAAAUCACACAUAAAACCAGUAAAUUGAUGGAAAAAUGAGUAAAUUAAUGUUGGAGUUGUAAAUUGCAAGAAGAACUUGUAAACAAAAUAAAAACUUAGAAAAAUGACAUAGAACUCGCAAAUUGACAUUAAGUGUGAAAUGAAACAAUAAAUUUGUAAAUCACACAUAAAACCGGUAAAUUAAUGAAAAAAUGAGUAAAUUAAUGUUGGAGUUGUAAAUUGUAAGAAGAACUUGUAAACAAAACAAACUUAGAAAAAUGACAUAGAACUAGUAAAUUGACAUUAAGUGUGAAAUGAAACAAUAAAUAUGUAAAUCACACAUAAAACUAGUAAAUUGAUGGAAAAAUGAGUAAAUUAAUGUUGGAGUUGUAAAUUGCAAGAAGAACUUGUAAACAAAACAAAAACUUAGAAAAAUGACAUAGAACUUGUAAAUUGACAUUAAGUGUGAAAUGAAACAAUUAAUUUGUAAAUCACACAUAAAACUAGUAAAUUAAUGGAAAAAUGAGUAAAUUAAUAUUGGAGUUGUAAAUUGUAAGAAGAACUUGUAAACAAAACAAAAUUAGAAAAAUGACAUAGAGCUAAUAAAUUGACAUUAAGUGUGAAAUGAAACAAAAAAUAUGUAAAUCACACAUAAAACUAGUAAAUUGAUGGAAAAUUGAGUAAAUUAAUGUUAGAGUUGUAAAUUGGAAGAAGAACUUGUAAACAAAACAAAAACUUAGAAAAAUGACAUAGAACUUGUAAAUUGACAUUAAGUGUGAAAUGAAACAAAAAAUAUGUAAAUCACACAUAAAACUAGUAAAUUAAUGAAAAAAUUGGUAAAUUAAUGUUGGAGUUGUAAAUUGCAAGAAGAACUUGUAAACAAAACAAAAACUUAGAAAAAUGACAUACAACUAGUAAAUUGACAUUAAGUGUGAAAUGAAACAAAAAAUAUGUAAAUCACACAUAAAACUAGUAAAUUAAUGAAAAAAAUUGGUAAAUUAAUGUUGGAGUUGUAAAUUGUAACAAGAACUUGUAAACAAAAUAAAAACUUAGAAAAAUGACAUACAACUAGUAAAUUGACAUUAAGUGUGAAAUGAAACAAAAAGUGUGUAAAUCACACAUAAAACUAGUAAAUUGAUGGAAAACUGAGUAAAUUAAUGUUGGAGUUGUAAAAUGCAAGAAGAACUUGUAAACAAAACAAAAACUUAGAAAAAUGACAUACAACUAGUAAAUUGACAUUAAUUGUGAAAUGAAACAAAAAAUGUGUAAAUCACACAUAAAACUAGUAAAUUGAUGGAAAAAUGAGUAAAUUAAUGUUGGAGUUGUAAAAUGCAAGAAGAAUUUGUAAACAAAACAAAAACUUAGAAAAAUGACAUACAACUAGUAAAUUGACAUUAAUUGUGAAAUGAAACAAAAAAUGUGUAAAUCACACAUAAAACUAGUAAAUUAAUGGAAAAAUAGGUAAAUUAAUGUUAGAGUUGUAAAUUGUAAGAAGAACUUGUAAACAAAACAAAAACUUAUAAAAAUGACAUACAACUAGUAAAUUGACAUUAAUUGUGAAAUGAAACAAAAAAUGUGUAAAUCACACAUAAAAUUAGUAAAUUGAUGGAAAAAUGAAUAAAUUAAUGUUGGAGUUGUAAAUUGUAAGAAGAACUUGUAAACAAAACCAAAAUUUAGAAAAAUUACAUAGAACUUGUAAAUUGACAUUAAGUGUUAAAUAAAACAAAAAAUUUGUAAACCACACAUACAACUAGUAAAUUAAUGGAAAAAUAGGUAAAUUAAUGUUAGAGUUGUAAAUUGUAAGAAGAAUUUGUAAACA
rnacentral:lncRNA from 1 species